rnacentral:lncRNA from 1 species
AAAGUUUAAUUUUUAAUUAAAUCUGAAAUACCAAUUAUAACUGAAAGAGAUUUUAACCUGUUUCUUUUCAGACUGCCUGAAGUUACAUUGUAGAUGCUGAAAUCACUGCACCUUAAAAACAAAAAGAUUAAGCCACACUGCAUUCCUAAUGUUGGAAUUUUUGGACUGUGCAUCUGUUUAGGCACGUGGAGAAAGACAAGACUGAGAUCAUCAGUGGUUGGCAGUUUUCCUCAACUUCGCGAGAGAGAGAUUUGGUUGGAAUGAAACCUUGCUCUGCGUACAGCCUGCUUGAGAUGCAGCAUUGAAAGCAAUGAAACUGAGAAGACACUAAAAGAAAUUCGGGGCAAAGUGCCAGACGCCCAGACGGAAGCAGAAUGUGGACCAAAAAGCUUGCGACAAUUGGGUAAUUAUGGUUUAUGAAUUUCAGCUUUAAUCUGUAGUUCAGUGAGUCCUGAUUAAAUAUCUGUUAAACACAAUUAAAGUUUGUUUUUGUAUUUCACCGUCUUGAUCAGAAUAAUUAGAGACUGCGUGUUUCAUGUCAAAAGUAGCAAGAGGAAUUUUAGUGAAUGAACAUCGUUUUUAAAAGCCAUUUGUAGCACCAGCUGUUGGCAUUAUUUUAUAUUUUAGUGUUAUCAGCAUAAAGAUGGGUCCUCUCAAUGCUGAACGCUUUCCAGCGGGGCUAAGAUUCUGGGAAAGGCGUGAUACAGUCGGAACUGUGCCGGGCCAUGGGGCUACGUGGAGAGCCUGGGCUGGGACUCUCUUGCUACAACGUGAGACUGUGCACUUAAGCGGUGGAGGGCGAGAAGUGCUGUGAACAGGUCAUGUAGCGCCCAGCCUGCGCUUCUGUGCCAAAGAUGUUUGAGAUAGCAAGUACGAUGAGUGAUAGGAAGGAUCAUUGGAGAGGGCACAGAUCUGAUGAGCUGCAUUUGGAUUCUCUCAUCACAGUGUCUUUAUCGGAAGCUCCGCGUGUCCCAAGGGUUAGGUGUUAGAGUGUUAGCCCAGAAUGAUAAUUGUGGCAGCGUUGUGAGUGCUCUUGGGAAGGAACCCUUCAAGUGCAUGGUGGUGCCUUAGCAAAGGCAACAGGCUGCAGUGAUGGCCCUAUGCAGUUACUGAAAUGGAUGGGUUUGCCCAUGCCAGCUGCUGCCAGGACGUUGUGUGUUUGUCUUCAUCAGAAGCAAUUCUGUUUAACUGAGAGGGGACAAAGUCUACUAAGUUCUUCCUCAGAAAAAUAGGAAAUAAACGUUGUGGAGGAAAAGCA